rnacentral:rRNA from 1 species
UACGUAGGUGACGAGCGUUAUCCGGAAUUACUGGGCGUAAAGGGUCCGCAGGUGGAAGCACAAGUCUGGUGUGACAGCGCCCGGCUCAACUGGGCGCGGCCAUUGGAAACUGUGCAUCUUGAGUCACAGUGAGGGGUGUAGAAUUCCGGGUGUAGUGGUGGAAUGCGUAGAGAUCCGGAGGAAUACCAGAGGCGCAAGCGGCACCCUGGCUGAGGACUGACACUGAGGGACGAAAGCGUGGGGAGCAAACAGG